rnacentral:rRNA from 1 species
AUUGAACGCUGGCGGCAGGCUUAACACAUGCAAGUCGGGCGGGGGAAGGUAGCUUGCUACCGGACCUAGCGGCGGACGGGUGAGUAAUGCUUAGGAAUCUGCCUAUUAGUGGGGGACAACAUCUCGAAAGGGAUGCUAAUACCGCAUACGUCCUACGGGAGAAAGCAGGGGAUCUUCGGACCUUGCGCUAAUAGAUGAGCCUAAGUCGGAUUAGCUAGUUGGUGGGGUAAAGGCCUACCAAGGCGACGAUCUGUAGCGGGUCUGAGAGGAUGAUCCGCCACACUGGGACUGCGACACGGCCCAGACCCCUACGGGAGGCAGCAGUGGGGAAUAUUGGACAAUGGGGGGAACCCUGAUCCAGCCAUGCCGCGUGUGUGAAGAAGGCCUUAUGGUUGUAAAGCACUUUAAGCGAGGAGGAGGCUACUCUAGUUAAUACCUAGGGAUAGUGGACGUUACUCGCAGAAUAAGCACCGGCUAACUCUGUGCCAGCCGCCGCCGUAA